AAAGUUUUAGCUGAGAUGCAUUUUGAAGAAAAGGUGUAUAUUUUGUUUGGUACCAGUUAUGCAUAUAAGAUAUUGAAUAAAUAAAUAAUUAUUACUGAUCAUAAUUCGAAUUAAUAGAGGUAGACCCCCACCUGCGGGCUGGUGCUCGCUUUGUGUAUUAUAUGUAUAUUCAUGUAUAUUUUGUGCUAUAUGUAUAUAUUUAAAAAUGUACUAUAAUGCUCAAUAAAGCUUUAAUAAUAAUAAGUAGAGCUUUAAUAAUAAUAAGUGAUGCGAGCAGCAGCAUCCAUGUCACAACCAGCGUCACGCGCUUCAUGAGUCAUCCUAUGACGUGCGACACUACCAUCUGCGGGCUACUUUUGCCUGGUACUGUGCGAGAGGGUGGAGGGGAGCCUGAAUACAGAAGAGGUACUCACUGGUCUCAGGAUAAACUCCCCCACAGGCAUCCCAGAGUGUGGAGCUGAUGCCCUUCGGUCCACCCUAUGCUCCACCAGCUUCAGGAGUCAGUGUGGCAUAGAUAGAUGUGGAUGACUGUGGUGUCUUGUCUUGUGUGGAGUUACAAGAACCGUCACCCCAAACAAUGAGUGGUGGAGGGUGCGUUCUGCGUUGACAGCCAGCAUGAGCGGUGACAGGAGCCAUGGGUGCCUUGCCUCCUCGCACCACCACCACAAGCACCACCACUCCUGCCAUCACCUACAAGGGGGAGACUGUGAUGUGGAUGCAGGUGGAUAGGUUCGGAGGCCUCCAGAGAGCUGCCCAGAGUAAAGCUUGUGGUAUAGAGGGACAGCUGCUGAUUAUCAAGCUUAUGGAGUGACUGGAGGAAAGUGGGAGGAGCCUGGAAGGAGUGGUGGAGGUACAGUACUUGGAGAAAAUCCCUCCACCAUGAUGACUGGGUGUCUGCUGUACAGGCCACCAACCAAUGGUGAGAGAGGGAGAGAGACUGGCUAAUGGUGGAUGAGAGAGAGAGAGAGAGAGAGAGAGAGAGAGAGAGAGUCUUGAUAAAUAAUAUUGGGCACAGGCUUCACCACUGGGUCGACUGUGAGGGCUGCGUUCUUCUGCUAGGGAAGUAUUGGCUGGUUGGUGGCCGCGGCUGUUCACACACUCACUCUUGCUGUGGCUGGCAUGCUGUUCUGUCCUCUCUUGUUGCAGGAAUUGCUGUCUGAGGUGUGUGUGUGUGUAUGUGUGUGUGUGUGUGUGUGCGUAGAAGCCACCAUCAUCAACCACAGCAGGUGAUAAUGAUGUUUCCUGCUUUCAUCCUCAUUGGGGCUAGCCAGACCAACCUGGGGCUGUACUGGGGUGACGCUGUGUGCCUCAGGUGUAUCUGGAGGGCUGGGAUAGUGAGAAGGUAACAAUUAAAAAGGACUAGUGUACAUUUAAACCAUUACAAACACUAUAUGAUGCUGGUAUACACACACAAACACUGGUAUACACUUACAGAUAUAUAUAAACACUUGCUAUGCUUUGUAUACUCUUAGAAACACACAUAAACUCUUAAUAAGUCUAGUAUACACACAAACUUGUAUACAAACACUAGUAUAUAUUUAGAGACACAUCCAAACCUUUGCUAAGUCUGAUAUAAGCACAUAAACUCAUAAGAGAUGCUGGUAUAUGCUUGGAAAUCUAUACACACAUUAGGUAAGACUAGUAUACACAAAUCUAUACAUAUAUUAGGAAUUUAUUGAAUGAUUGAGAUGAUUAGUACUCUCUCUCUCUCUCUCUCUCUCUCUCUCUCUCUCUCUCUCUCUCUCUCUCUCUCUCUCUCUCUCUCUCUCUCUCUCUCUUUCUCUUUCUCUUUCUCUCAUAUCCUUUGUCUAUCUCAAAUUUUCUCUUUUAAUCUCUCCCUCUCUGUCUGUCUGUCUCUCUGUCUGUCUGUCUGUCUGUCUGUCCCACACUUCAAUACACCCUUCCUGUCUUCAUACACCUUAGUACACCCUUCCUGUCUGCCCCUAUAGCUUAAUACACCCUGUAUCACCCUUGCAUCUCAUUAAACUAUCCCUAUUUGUCCAUCUCAAUAAACCCUGUCUAAUUUCCCUGUCCGGCUGUUUGUCUCAUCUUAUUACACCCUGUCUCUCCCUGCUUCUUGUUGCACCCUUCCUUUCCCCUACUCCUCAAUACUCCCUUCCCACCCUGUGUCAUGUGUAUAUAUUUAAAUAUUUAUAUUCAUUUGUGGCAUUCUUCAUGUGUUUUUGGGGUGUUUUGAGUGUGUUUGGGUGUGUUUUGGGGUGUUUGGGUCAGUUUUGGGUGUGUUUUGGGGUGUUUUGGGGUGAUUUGGGUGUGUUUUGGGGUGUUUGGGUCAGUUUUGGGGUGUUUUGGGUGUGUUUUGGGGUGUUUUGGGUGUGUUUUGGGGUGUUUUGGUCAGUUUUGGGUGUGUUUCGGGGUGUUUUGGGGUGUUUUGGUCAGUUUUGGGUGUGUUUUGGGGUGUUUUGGGUGUGUUUUGGGGUGUUUUUGUCAGUUUUGGGUGUGUUUUGGGGUAUUUUUCUCAGUAUUGGAUGAGUAUGGGUGUGUUUUGGGGUGUUUUAAGUGUUUUUUGGGCUAUUUUAAAAGAGUUUGGGUGUGUUUUGGGUGGCUAGGGGUGUGCUGUGGGUGGAUAAGGCUGUUUCUGGGUGUUUAAGUGGGUGUAGAUGCGUUUUGGGGUGUUUUGGAUGUGUUUUGGGGUGUAGAGAGAUAGACGUGAUGUGUGCAGGGUGUCUCAGUCCCUGGAUGGGUGUAGGAGUGCGUGGUGGUGCUGUCUGGGUCUCGUGGUGUGGGAGUGCAUGUAAAGGAACAGAUAAUUUAGGGCAGUUUUUCAUAUUUAAUUAUUUUGUUUAUUAAUUUAUUUAUUAUUAUCAUUAUUUUUAUUGUUUUUAAAGGGGGGUUAAUUUUUACGUUCAUCUUUUGUGUUCGGGAGUUCCUGGUUAGUGCUAUUGACAAAAAAAAAAAAAUGGAGAUCGUUUUAUUUUUUAGUGUGGAAAUUGUUGCAGUUUGUCAGGUGUUGAUUGGUGUUGAGAGUCGCAGGUCCCGUCUCGCCCUCUGUCAUAAAAUAAACAAUAAAGGGUUGGUUUUC